UAGUGUUGUGCCGGGUUUAAACGGAUUGCGUUGAUGUUGUAAAAUAUGAGUUUUCUUUAGCACUAG
rnacentral:tRNA from 1 species